GAGCACUCAAGACAGCCAUGGGGUGUGGGGCUUCCAGUGACCCAGGGCCACCAGAAUGUGAAGAGAGGGCAGAAAGUGAAGGCAGGCCGCCAACACAAAGCACUUAUGUUGGACAAGGAUCAAAGGCAGAUAUUCAAGAGGAAAUUAAUAGCCUGGAAAGAAAGUCAUGAGAAUGGAAAAGCUGAUUCCCAAUUACCUGCUGCCUGGAACAUUUUGCACCUUCGGUUAUACAAAAAUGAAAAAUGAAAAA